GGGUGAGGCGUGAUGCGUACCCGUAUUUGGGGAAGUUGGUGAUCCUAUGCUGCCGAGAAAAGCCUCUAGCGAUGUGGAUAUACGGCCCGUACCCGAAACCGACACAGGUAGUCAGGUAGAGAAUACUAAGGCGAUCGGGAGAACUGUGGUUAAGGAACUCGGCAAAAUGCCCCCGUAACUUCGGGAGAAGGGGGGCCAUGACUGGUGACCGACGUGGUUGAGCUGGUUGUGGCCGCAGAGAAUAGAGGGAAGCGACUGUUUACUAAAAACACAGGUCCGUGCGAAGACGGGUAAGUCGAUGUAUACGGACUGACGCCUGCCCGGUGCUGGAAGGUUAAGAGGACCUGUUAGACCCUUUGUG
rnacentral:rRNA from 1 species